UACGUAGGGGGCAAGCGUUGUCCGGAAUCAUUGGGCGUAAAGGGCGCGUAGGCGGGCAUAUAAGUCUGAUGUGAAAGUGCGGAGCUUAACUCCGUAAAGCAUUGGAAACUGUGUGUCUUGAGGACAGGAGAGGAAAGUGGAAUUCCUAGUGUAGCGGUGAAAUGCGUAGAUAUUAGGAGGAACACCAGUGGCGAAGGCGACUUUCUGGACUGUAACUGACGCUGAGGCGCGAAAGCGUGGGGAGC
rnacentral:rRNA from 1 species